ensembl:miRNA MIR301B microRNA 301b
CAGGUGCUCUGACGAGGUUGCACUACUGUGCUCUGAGAAGCAGUGCAAUGAUAUUGUCAAAGCAUCUGGGACCA